GUCCAGGAGCGGGAAUCGAACCCACAACGUUCCGCUUACCGGGCAGAUGCCAUGUCCACUAGGCUACCCUGGA
rnacentral:tRNA from 1 species